UUUGAUUUCUGAGAGAACCCUCUUCUAGUACGAGAGGACCGAAGAUGGGGGAAUCCCUGGUGUAUCAGUUGUCUUAUAAAGGCAUUGCUGAGUAGCUAUAUUCCUAGUUGAUAAGUACUGAAAGCAUAUCAAGUACGAAGCACAUCUCAAGAUUAGAAAUCUUUUAGUUCCCCUGUAGAUGACAGGGUAUAUAGGUACCAGGUGUAAGUGCAGCAAUGCAUUUAGCCGAGGUAUACUAAUGAACGAUUAU
rnacentral:ncRNA from 1 species